rnacentral:rRNA from 1 species
GACGAACGCUGGCGGCGUGCUUAACACAUGCAAGUCGAACGGAAAGGCCCUGCUUUUGUGGGGUGCUCGAGUGGCGAACGGGUGAGUAACAUGUGAGUAACCUGCCCUUGACUUUGGGAUAACUUCAGGAAACUGGGGCUAAUACCGGAUAGGAGCUCCUGCUGCGUGGUGGGGGGUGUAAAGUUUCGGUGGUUGGGGAUGGACUCGCGGCUUAUCAGCUUGUUGGUGGGGUAGUGGCUUACCAAGGCUUGGACGGGUAGCCGGCCUGAGAGGGUGACCGGCCACACUGGGACUGAGAUACGGCCCAGACUCCUACGGGAGGCAGCAGUGGGGAAUAUUGCACAAUGGGCGGAAGCCUGAUGCAGCAACGCCGCGUGCGGGAUGACGGCCUUCGGGUUGUAAACCGCUUUCGCCUGUGACGAAGCGUGAGUGACGGUAAUGGGUAAAGAAGCACCGGCUAACUACGUG